AUUGAACGCUGGCGGCAGGCCUAACACAUGCACGUCGAGCGAGCGGCGGACGGGUGAGUAAUGUCUGGGAAAAUGCCUGAUGGAGAGGGAUAACUACUGGAAACGGUAGCUAAUACCGCAUACCAUCGGAUGUGCACAGAUGGGAUUAGCUAGUAGGUGGGGUAACGGCUUACCUAGGCGACGAUCCCUAGCUGGUCUGAGAGGAUGACCAGCCACACUGUAAGUGAGACACGGUCCAGACUCCGACGGGAGGCAGCAGUGGGGAAUAUUGCACAAUGGGCGAAAGCCUGAUGCAGCCAUGCCGCGUGUAUGAAGAAGGCCUUCGGGUUGUAAAGUCCGUUCAGCGGGGAGGCGUUACCCGCAGAAGAAGCACCGGCUAACUCCGUGCCAGCAGCCGCGGUAAUUC
rnacentral:rRNA from 1 species